GGGAGGUGUCCCUGCCCAGGGCAGGGGAGUUGGAAUUAGAUGGUCUUUAAGGUCCCUUCCAACCCCAGCCAUUCUGUGACUCUAUGAUUCUAUAUGCAUUCCCUGUUUGCUUUUGCAGCUUACUCAAUCUUCUCCUUAAGUAAAAGUAGAAAGACACAGCCUUUCCCCCAGGAGGACAGAGAAAUAAGAUUGAUAGUAAUCAGAUGUAAUUUACAAUUAGGUUCUGUGUUUAAAUAUACCAGUCCAGUGAAGAAAAUAA